rnacentral:rRNA from 1 species
GUCCUGCUCUAAACCACCGCGAACCUACCACUGUUGCCUCGGCGCGGCGGCCCCCGGACGCGGGGGGCGCCGCGCCGGCGGCCCAACCCACUGAAUUCUCCCCUGGCCGGGCGGCUCUGAGUGAUAUUGAAACAGCCACAACUUUCAGCAACGGAUCUCUUGGCUCUGGCAUCGAUGAAGAACGCAGCGAACUGCGAUACGUAAUGCGAAUUGCAGAAUUCAGUGAGUCAUCGAAUCUUUGAACGCACAUUGCGCCCGCCAGUAUCCUGGCGGGCAUGCCUGUCCGAGCGUCAUUUCGACCCCUCAAGCCCCAGCGCUUGGUGUUGGGGGCCCACGGCAGCCCGUGGCCCCCGGAAAACAGUGGCGGCGGCCCCCGCGGCGCCGGGCGUAGUAGCACACCUCGCCCCGGCGGCCGGGCGCCUUGCCCGCCGUGAAACGCGGCGCUCCCCCCGGGAGCGCCACAGACCGGUUGACCUCGGAUCAGGUAGGAAUACCCGCUGAACUUAAGCAUAUCAAUAAGCGGAGGAAAAGAAACCAACAGGGAUUGCCCCAGUAACGGCGAGUGAAGCGGCAACAGCUCAAAUUUGAAAUCUGGCCCCCGGGCCCGAGUUGUAAUUUGCAGAGGAUGCUUCGGGCGCGGCGCCUUCCGAGUCCCCUGGAACGGGGCGCCACAGAGGGUGAGAGCCCCGUACGGUUGGACGCCUAGCCCGUGUGAAGCUCCUUCGACGAGUCGAGUAGUUUGGGAAUGCUGCUCUAAAUGGGAGGUAAGUUCCUUCUAAAGCUAAAUACCGGCCAGAGACCGAUAGCGCACAAGUAGAGUGAUCGAAAGAUGAAAAGCACUUUGAAAAGAGGGUUAAAUAGCACGUGAAAUUGCUGAAAGGGAAGCGCUCGUGACCAGACGCGCGCCGGGCGGAUCAUCCAGCGUUCUCGCUGGUGCACUCCGCCCGGCGCGGGCCAGCGUCGGUUCUCGCGGGGGGGCAAGGGCGCCGGGAACGUAGCUCCUCCGGGAGCGUUAUAGCCCGCGCUCACGCCCCCGCGGGACCGA